rnacentral:sRNA from 1 species
CUACAUCGACAAAAAUCUGUCUGCAAACUAAUAUUAAGCAAGCCGGCUGCAAAGAAUAUUAUGACAAAACUGGUUGAUUCUGGGGAUAACACUGUUCUUCACAUAGCUGGAAAGAUGGGACAACGUGAAAUAAAACCAGGAUUUUCAACAAACCAUGUUCUAAUGAGUAGUGAGGAGAAAUGGUUUCAGGAUGUGGAGAAAAUAGUUCCACCUGCAAUGAAAACAAUGAAAAACAAAGAUGGUUUGACUCCAAAAGAAUUGUUCUAUCUGACACACGAAAU